AUGAGCACCAGAGUUACCACUUUAAAAAGGCCCCAAAAUCAUGAUGAGUGGGGGAAACUCAGAUGCUUUACAGACUCCGUUACCUCAACUGCUGGAAGUGAGUUUCCAGCCCUGUGUACUUGUGACCUGGCGAUGACUGCUGCAAGGAUGACUGGAAAAUCACCGGGACCAGACAUCAGAGAGAAAAAGAGCAGAGGCUUGGGGGAGACCAGACCAUGGCAGGAAGAUCACAGAAUGUCACGUCAAGGUGUUAAGGCGCUGUUAUGGUUUGUGUCUGCAUGUCCCCCCAAAUCCUCAUGCGGUCAUGGGGCAGGCUUUUAGAUUUAUGAUUGAUUCAUGGUCCAGUGUUGGAAUUAUGGGUGUGAGUGCUACACCCGCCCUGGGGCAGAUAGCUUGCAUACAGCGUAAGGGAGGGAGAGAGGCUGCUUGCCGCCACUCCUCUCUUUCUGCUCUUGUUGCUUUUGCUGUUUUUCUGCCGCCAUGAACAGUUGCCCUCUGCCAUGUGCCACUCUGCCUUGGAGCCAGCCGAGUAUGCACUGAAAUCUCCACAAACUGUGAGCUAAAUAAACCUUUCCUUCCUUAAUUUUGGACGUCAGAUAUUUUGUCUCAGCAACAAGAGAAAAGUAACCAAGACAGGUGCCCUCACACAGAUUCCUUCGGGAUGAAGCAGCUCAGAAAUGAGGAUGUGAUGCUUUCAGGGGAAACGAUGCUGAUGUU
rnacentral:lncRNA from 1 species